GACGAACGCUGGCGGCGUGCUUAACACAUGCAAGUCGAACGGUAAGGCCCCAGCUUGCUGGGGUACACGAGUGGCGAACGGGUGAGUAACACGUGGGUGACCUGCCCCGCACUUCGGGAUAAGCCUGGGAAACUGGGUCUAAUACCGGAUAGGACCGCACCGUGAGGGUGUGGUGGAAAGUUUUUCGGUGUGGGAUGGGCCCGCGGCCUAUCAGCUUGUUGGUGGGGUAAUGGCCUACCAAGGCGGCGACGGGUAGCCGGCCUGAGAGGGUGGACGGCCACAUUGGGACUGAGACACGGCCCAGACUCCUACGGGAGGCAGCAGUGGGGAAUAUUGCACAAUGGGCGGAAGCCUGAUGCAGCGACGCCGCGUGGGGGAUGACGGCCUUCGGGUUGUAAACUCCUUUCACCAACGACGAAGGUUUUCUGACGGUAGAUGGAGAAGAAGCACCGGCUAACUACGUG
rnacentral:rRNA from 1 species